ACCCCGUUGGUGAAGUGGUCAUCAUGCUUGCCGUCCCAGCAAGCGGCUCGGGUUCCAAUCCCGAACGGUGUA
rnacentral:tRNA from 1 species